rnacentral:rRNA from 1 species
AGACCCGAAACCCGGUGAUCUAGCCAUGGGCAGGUUGAAGGUUGGGUAACACUAACUGGAGGACCGAACCGACUAAUGUUGAAAAAUUAGCGGAUGACCUGUGGCUGGGGGUGAAAGGCCAAUCAAACCGGGAGAUAGCUGGUUCUCCCCGAAAGCUAUUUAGGUAGCGCCUCGUGAAUUCAUCUCCGGGGGUAGAGCACUGUUUCGGCUAGGGGGCCAUCCCGGCUUACCAACCCGAUGCAAACUGCGAAUACCGGAGAAUGUUAUCACGGGAGACACACGGCGGGUGCUAACGUCCGUCGUGAAGAGGGAAACAACCCAGACCGCCAGCUAAGGUCCCAAAGUCAUGGUUAAGUGGGAAACGAUGUGGGAAGGCCCAGACAGCCAGGAUGUUGGCUUAGAAGCAGCCAUCAUUUAAAGAAAGCGUAAUAGCUCACUGGUCGAGUCGGCCUGCGCGGAAGAUGUAACGGGGCUAAACCAUGCACCGAAGCUGCGGCAGCGACGCUGAUGCGUUGUUGGGUAGGGGAGCGUUCUGUAAGCCUGCGAAGGUGGCCUGUGAGGGUUGCUGGAGGUAUCAGAAGUGCGAAUGCUGACAUAAGUAACGAUAAAGCGGGUGAAAAGCCCGCUCGCCGGAAGACCAAGGGUUCCUGUCCAACGUUAAUCGGGGCAGGGUGAGUCGACCCCUAAGGCGAGGCCGAAAGGCGUAGUCGAUGGGAAACGGGUUAAUAUUCCCGUACUUGGUGUUACUGCGAAGGGGGGACGGAGAAGGCUAUGUUGGCCGGGCGACGGUUGUCCCGGUUUAAGCGUGUAGGUGUGUGUUCCAGGUAAAUCCGGUUCACUUUAACACUGAGGCGUGACGACGAGGCACUACGGUGCUGAAGCAACAAAUGCCCUGCUUCCAGGAAAAGCCUCUAAGCAUCAGGUAACAUCAAAUCGUACCCCAAACCGACACAGGUGGUCAGGUAGAGAAUACCAAGGCGCUUGAGAGAACUCGGGUGAAGGAACUAGGCAAAAUGGUGCCGUAACUUCGGGAGAAGGCACGCUGACACGUAGGUGAAGUGAUUUACUCACGGAGCUGAAGUCAGUCGAAGAUACCAGCUGGCUGCAACUGUUUAUUAAAAACACAGCACUGUGCAAACACGAAAGUGGACGUAUACGGUGUGACGCCUGCCCGGUGCCGGAAGGUUAAUUGAUGGGGUCAGCGCAAGCGAAGCUCCUGAUCGAAGCCCCGGUAAACGGCGGCCGUAACUAUAACGGUCCUAAGGUAGCGAAAUUCCUUGUCGGGUAAGUUCCGACCUGCACGAAUGGCGUAAUGAUGGCCAGGCUGUCUCCACCCGAGACUCAGUGAAAUUGAACUCGCUGUGAAGAUGCAGUGUACCCGCGGCAAGACGGAAAGACCCCGUGAACCUUUACUAUAGCUUGACACUGAACAUUGAGCCUUGAUGUGUAGGAUAGGUGGGAGGCUUUGAAGCGUGGACGCCAGUCUGCGUGGAGCCGACCUUGAAAUACCACCCUUUAAUGUUUGAUGUUCUAACGUGGACCCGUUACCCGGGUUGCGGACAGUGUCUGGUGGGUAGUUUGACUGGGGCGGUCUCCUCCUAAAGAGUAACGGAGGAGCACGAAGGUUGGCUAAUCCUGGUCGGACAUCAGGAGGUUAGUGCAAUGGCAUAAGCCAGCUUGACUGCGAGCGUGACGGCGCGAGCAGGUGCGAAAGCAGGUCAUAGUGAUCCGGUGGUUCUGAAUGGAAGGGCCAUCGCUCAACGGAUAAAAGGUACUCCGGGGAUAACAGGCUGAUACCGCCCAAGAGUUCAUAUCGACGGCGGUGUUUGGCACCUCGAUGUCGGCUCAUCACAUCCUGGGGCUGAAGUAGGUCCCAAGGGUAUGGCUGUUCGCCAUUUAAAGUGGUACGCGAGCUGGGUUUAGAACGUCGUGAGACAGUUCGGUCCCUAUCUGCCGUGGGCGCUGGAGAACUGAGGGGGGCUGCUCCUAGUACGAGAGGACCGGAGUGGACGCAUCACUGGUGUUCGGGUUGUCAUGCCAAUGGCACUGCCCGGUAGCUAAAUGCGGAAGAGAUAAGUGCUGAAAGCAUCUAAGCACGAAACUUGCCCCGAGAUGAGUUCUCCCUGAGACUUA